UUAAAGUUUGAUUCUUUCUUACCCCUUUAUGUGAUUACUAAGAUUGUAUGAGAGCUAUAGCAAGUAACUGUUUCCAUGUUUAAAACUUGGUGUCUUCUCUAAAACUAUAUUGUAGUUAAUUCUCAGCAUAUAAUAUUAAACAAUAUGUAAAAGCAUGAAUUAGUAGUAAAUUUAAACCUAAUUAAUAUUGUGCCAGCAGUUGCGGUUAUACCUUAAGGUUAAAUAAAGGAAAAUUGGCUUUCUGUUAAAUGUAAGUAUUUGGUUUAUCUGGUAAAAUAGAAAGUGAAAUUAAAUGUUUAAUCAAGAAGUUCAUUGAAUAUAAGUUGAAACAGAAAAAUCUCAGGGAUAAACUAGGAUUAGAUACCCUAUUAUACUGAGGAGAAUAUAAGCAAGCCUGAUUAUUAAUAGAUAUGAGCUUUAAAUUUAAAGAAUUUGGCGGUGGUUUAGUCCCGUUAGAGGAACCUGUUUCUUAAUCGAUACUCCUCGUAUAAUCUUACUUAAGCUUGUAAUCAGCAUGUAUACCAUCAUUAUUAGAUAAUUCUUAUAGGAUAAUUAUUAAAUAGGCCGAUAAUGUUGAAUAUAUUAGAUCAAGGUGCAGCUAAUGCUUAAGUGUAAAUGGGUUACAAUAAAAUUUAUUUUAUAUGGAUUACUAAAAGAAUAUUUAGUAUAAAAGUGGAUUUAAUUGUAAAAAAAGUUUAAUAUGCUUUUUUUAUAUAGGCUCUAAGCCGUGUACAUAUCGCCCGUCGCUUUCAUUAUUAAAUGAGAUAAGUCGUAACAUAGUAGGUCUACUGGAAAGUAGACCUGGUUUGAACA
rnacentral:ncRNA from 1 species